AGCAGCCGCGGUAAUUCCAGCUCCAAUAGCGUAUAUUAAAGUUGUUGCAGUUAAAAAGCUCGUAGUUGAAUUUCGGGACCAUCAUGUCGGUCGUGCCUCGGUACGUACUGGCAUUGUUGGUUUCUCCCUUCUGACGAACCAUGAUGUCAUUUAUUUGGUGUUGUGGGAAAUCAGGACUGUUACUUUGAAAAAAUUAGAGUGUUUAAAGCAGGCUCACGCUUGAAUACAUUAGCAUGGAAUAAUGAAAUAGGACGUUUGAUUCUAUUUUGUUGGUUUCUAGGAUCGACGUAAUGAUUAAUAGGGAUAGUUGGGGGCAUUAGUAUUCAAUUGUCAGAGGUGAAAUUCUUGGAUUUAUUGAAGACUAACUACUGCGAAAGCAUUUGCCAAGGAUGUUUUCAUUAAUCAAGAACGAAAGUUAGGGGAUCGAAGACGAUCAGAUACCGUCGUAGUCUUAACCAUAAACUAUGCCGACUAGGGAUCGGAUGAUGUUAAUUUAAUGACUCA
rnacentral:rRNA from 1 species